ACAGUGUUUUUGAGCAGAUUUAUUUUUUGCUUCUAGUUCUUUCUGAAGGAAGCUAGCUUCUUCUUUUUUCUUGUCCAAUUCCAUUAUCUUUUCUUCUAGGUCAUCUUUUGUUUGUUUCACCAUGGUUUCCAGAUGGAGACACUGUUUUUCAUAAGAUUUAUUUUUUGCUUCUAGUUCUUUCUGAAGGAUGCUAGCUUCUUCUUUUUUCUUGUCCAAUUCCAAUAUCUUUUCUUCUAGGUCAUCUUUUGUUUGUUUCACCAUGGUUUCCAAAUGGAGACAAUGUUUUUCAUAAGAUUUAUUUUUUACUUCUAGUUCUUUCUGAAGGAAGCUAGCUUCU
rnacentral:lncRNA from 1 species